AUGUGUAGAAUGAGAAGAAGGAGUUGGAGCAGGAGACUACAGAGAGUCCUUGUUUUAUUUCCCAUUAGGCAAAUUCUAUUUUACUUAAUUCUAAAGGCUUGGGAAGAUGUAACAGAAACACAUAAGAAUAGAGUUUUGCACAAAAAAAAAAAUGAGCCCACUGUUCAUUCCCAAUUUUCAAAUAUUUGACAAAGAUGAAACAUUAGAAGAAGUGAGAAAUAAGACUGUAAAAUUAACAGAACUGGAGCUAGAAGUGGAGAUGAAAAUAACACAGAGAAGUUGAUUGAGUCUCAUGGGAAACUGUCCAAUGAGGAUCUGAUUGCACUGCCGGCUACAGAGAUUGCAAAAGAAGAAGAAAGGGAAGCUUCAGAACCCAAGGUCGAACCAAAAAGGUUCACAAUGAAACAGCAGGCUGAAGCAUUUCAUCAUUUGAGUGAAUUUUUUCUCUUGUUUUGAAAAGAUGGAUUCAAAUACUUCAAGACUUUUUAAAGUUCAAAGACUAGUCGAGGAUAAUAUUGCUUGCUAUCAUCAGAUACACAAGGAGUAAAAAGAGAGCCACUGUCUAAACAUCUUUUAAUAGCUUCAUUAGAAAAGCUGUGUGACCAGCUCCCAGUGAUGAAGGCUAGGUGCGAUGGGUAGAGUAGGGGCGCCAUAUUGCACACCUGUGUUAAUGGUACUAUACAGUACUGUGUAUGUUUCAUCAUUAACUUUAUCUUCCAUUUCAUAAUUCUAUUUAUUAUCAUAUUACAGUAUUAAAUAAGUCUGAAUUUUGGUAUAUCUUGUAUAAAGGUAUAUUUUGUGACACUUUUGUUACAUAGACUAAAUGAAGUGGGUGUGUAGAGGCAUAUUCAUAUAACAUAACGUAGACAUCUGCAAAUUGGUCCAUUUACUCCUGUUGUCUAUUUGAAUUCAAUAGAAAUUAAUUAAUGCUUUAGCACAACGCCCUCCAUUUCUCUGAAAUUAUUAGAACCAAAGUUGAAAGAACAAGAAUUGUCUGUAAUCGGACAAGGCCCCCCAGUCCUGAAAUAGAAACAAUAGUUUGCAAAUAGGUACAGAUUUUAAUCCAAAUUGAGGGGAAGGGGGAAAUAAAAAACUCACUCCCCUGACCCUAUUUCUCUUC
rnacentral:lncRNA from 1 species